rnacentral:rRNA from 1 species
UACGAAGGGGACUAGCGUUGUUCGGAAUUACUGGGCGUAAAGCGCACGUAGGCGGAUUUGUAAGUCAGGGGUGAAAUCCCGGGGCUCAACCUCGGAACUGCCUUUGAUACUGCAAAUCUCGAGUCCGAUAGAGGUGGGUGGAAUUCCCAGUGUAGAGGUGAAAUUCGUAGAUAUUGGGAAGAACACCGGUGGCGAAGGCGGCUCACUGGCUCGUUUCUGACGCUGAGGCGCGAAAGCGUGGGGAGCAAACAGG